rnacentral:rRNA from 1 species
CAGCCGCCGCGGGAAUACGUAGGGUGCAAGCGUUAAUCGGAAUUACUGGGCGUAAAGCGUGCGCAGGCGGUUAUGUAAGACAGUUGUGAAAUCCCCGAGCUCAACCUGGGAACUGCAUCUGUGACUGCAUAGCUAGAGUACGGUAGAGGGGGAUGGAAUUCCGCGUGUAGCAGUGAAAUGCGUAGAUAUGCGGAGGAACACCGAUGGCGAAGGCAAUCCCCUGGACCUGUACUGACGCUCAUGCACGAAAGCGUGGGGAGCAAACAGGAUUAGAUACCCCCGUAGUCCCUGUCUCUUAUAC